rnacentral:rRNA from 1 species
UACGUAGGGAGCAAGCGUUGUCCGGAAUCAUUGGGCGUAAAGCGCGUGUAGGCGGCUCGGUAAGUCCGCUCUGAAAGCCCGGGGCUCAACCCCGGGAGGCGGGUGGAUACUGCUGAGCUCGAGUCCGGAAGAGGAGUGUGGAAUUCCUGGUGUAGCGGUGAAAUGCGCAGAUAUCAGGAGGAACACCAAUGGCGAAGGCAGCACUCUGGGACGGUACUGACGCUGAGACGCGAAAGCGUGGGGAGCGAACCGG